AUUGAACGCUGGCGGCAUGCUUUACACAUGCAAGUCGAACGGCAGCGCGGGCUUCGGCCUGGCGGCGAGUGGCGAACGGGUGAGUAAUACAUCGGAACGUGCCCAGUAGUGGGGGAUAGCUCGGCGAAAGCCGGAUUAAUACCGCAUACGACCUGAGGGUGAAAGCGGGGGAUCUUCGGACCUCGCGCUAUUGAAGCGGCCGAUGGCAGAUUAGCUAGUUGGUGGGGUAAAGGCCUACCAAGGCGACGAUCUGUAGCUGGUCUGAGAGGACGACCAGCCACACUGGGACUGAGACACGGCCCAGACUCCUACGGGAGGCAGCAGUGGGGAAUUUUGGACAAUGGGCGAAAGCCUGAUCCAGUAAUGCCGCGUGUGUGAUGAAGGCCUUCGGGUUGUAAAGCACUUUUGGCGGGAACGAAAAGGACUGUGCCAAUACCACGGUUCGAUGACGGUACCCGCAGAAUAAGCACCGGCUAACUACGUG
rnacentral:rRNA from 1 species